rnacentral:pre_miRNA from 2 species
UUAAUACUCCCUCCGUCCUACAAAGCUUGUCUUAGCUUUGUCUAGAUACGGAUGUACUUAGACAUGUUUUAGUGUUAAAUACAUUCGUAUCUAGAUAAAUCUAAGACGAGCUUUUUGGUACGAAGGUAAUGCUAA